GGAAGCGAAUGUGACCCUGGUGGGCACCGCAGUCUUCAAAGCUGUUGUUUCAGGCAAAACCUGAAAGGUGGGUUCGAUUCCCACACGUUUCC
rnacentral:tRNA from 1 species